AGAAACCAACAGGGAUUGCCCUAGUAACGGCGAGUGAAGCGGCAACAGCUCAAAUUUGAAAUCUGGCGCAAGCCCGAGUUGUAAUUUGUAGAGGAUGCUUCUGGGCAGCGGCUAGUCUAAGUCCUUUGGAACAGGGCGUCACAGAGGGUGAGAAUCCCGUAUGUGAUUAGCAUGCACCCGUCACGUAGCUCCUUCGACGAGUCGAGUUGUUUGGGAAUGCAGCUCUAAAUGGGAGGUAAAUUCCUUCUAAAGCUAAAUACCGGCCAGAGACCGAUAGCGCACAAGUAGAGUGAUCGAAAGAUGAAAAGCACUUUGAAAAGAGAGUUAAAAAGCACGUGAAAUUGUUGAAAGGGAAGCGCAUACAACCAGACUUGUCGGCGGUGUUCCGCCGGUCUUCUGACCGGUCUACUCGCCGCCGGCAGGCCAGCAUCGUUUGGGCGCGCCAGAUAAAGGUUUGGGGCGGCGGUUCGCCGUUGCCCCUUACACAAUAACGGCGCCGCCCGAGCGAGGUCCGCGCUUCGGCAAGGAUGCUGGCGUAAUGGUUGCCUGCGGCCCGUCUUGAAACACGGACCAAGGAGUCUAACAUCUAUGCGAGUGUUCGGGUGUCAAACCCCUACGCGUAAUGAAAGUGAACGGAGGUGGGAACGCAAGUGCACCAUCGACCGAUCCUGAUGUCUUCGGAUGGAUUUGAGUAAGAGCAUAGCUGUUGGGACCCGAAAGAUGGUGAACUAUGCCUGAAUAGGGUGAAGCCAGAGGAAACUCUGGUGGAGGCUCGCAGCGGUUCUGACGUGCAAAUCGAUCGUCAAAUUUGGGUAUAGGGGCGAAAGACUAAUCGAACCAU
rnacentral:rRNA from 1 species